rnacentral:rRNA from 1 species
GACAGAGGGUGCAAGCGUUGUUCGGAAUCAUUGGGCGUAAAGCGCACGUAGGCGGUUUUGUAAGUCGGAUGUGAAAGCCCUGGGCUUAACCCAGGAAGUGCAUCCGAUACUGCAUAACUUGAGUCCCGGAGAGGGUGGUGGAAUUCCUGGUGUAGAGGUGAAAUUCGUAGAUAUCAGGAGGAACACCGGUGGCGAAGGCGACCACCUGGACGGAGACUGACGCUGAGGUGCGAAAGCGUGGGGAGCAAACAGG